GGGCCUGUAGCUCAACGGUAGAGCAUCAUCCUUGCAAGGUGGGGGUUUCGGGUUCAAAUCCCGACAGGUCCA
rnacentral:tRNA from 1 species